rnacentral:rRNA from 1 species
AUUGAACGCUGGCGGCAUGCCUUACACAUGCAAGUCGAACGGCAGCGGACCUUCGGGUGCCGGCGAGUGGCGAACGGGUGAGUAAUAUAUCGGAACGUACCUUUCAGUGGGGGAUAACGUAGCGAAAGUUACGCUAAUACCGCAUAUUCUGUGAGCAGGAAAGCAGGGGAUCGCAAGACCUUGCGCUGAUUGAGCGGCCGAUAUCAGAUUAGCUAGUUGGUGAGGUAAAGGCUCACCAAGGCGACGAUCUGUAGCGGGUCUGAGAGGAUGAUCCGCCACACUGGAACUGAGACACGGUCCAGACUCCUACGGGAGGCAGCAGUGGGGAAUUUUGGACAAUGGGCGCAAGCCUGAUCCAGCCAUGCCGCGUGAGUGAA